rnacentral:rRNA from 1 species
UGGGAUAGCCAUUGGAAACGAUGAUUAAUACUAGAUACUCCUUCUUAUCACAUGAUAAGUCGAGGAAAGUUUUUUCGCUAAGAGAUCGGCCUAUAUCGCAUCAGUUAGUUGGUGGGGUAACGGCCUACCAAGACAAUGACGCGUAGCGGGUUUGAGAGGAUGAUCCGCCACACUGGUACUGAGACACGGACCAGACUCCUACGGGAGGCAGCAGUGAGGAAUAUUGCACAAUGGGGGAAACCCUGAUGCAGCAGCGCCGCGUGGAGGAUGACGCAUUUCGGUGUGUAAACUCCUUUUAUGAGUCAAGAAAAUGACGGUAGCUCAUGAAUAAGCACCGGCUAACUCCGUGCCAGCAGCCGCGGUAAUACGGAGGGUGCAAGCGUUACUCGGAAUCACUGGGCGUAAAGGACGCGUAGGCGGGUUAUCAAGUCAGGUGUGAAAUCCUAUGGCUCAACCAUAGAACUGCACUUGAAACUGGUAACCUAGAGUAUGGGAGGGGCGGAUGGAAUUAGUAGUGUAGGGGUAAAAUCCGUAGAUAUUACUAGGAAUACCGAAAGCGAAGGCGAUCUGCUGGAACAUUACUGACGCUAAGGCGUGAAAGCGUGGGGAGCAAACGGGAUUAGAUACCCCGGUAGUCCACGCCCUAAACGAUGAACACUAGUCGUCGGGGAGCUAGUCUCUUCGGUGAUGCA